rnacentral:sRNA from 1 species
GCUGGGCAUGGUGGUGCACGCCUGUAAUCCCAGCAGCUCCAGAGGCUGAGGCAGGAGGAUUGUGAGUUCAAAGCCAGCCUCAGCAAAAACGAGGCAUCAAGCAACUCAGUGAGACCCUGUUUCUA